GGUUGAUCCUGCCAGUAGUCAUAUGCUUGUCUCAAAGAUUAAGCCAUGCAUGUCUAAGUAUAAACUGUUUAUACAAGUGAAACUGCGAAUGGCUCAUUAAAUCAGUUAUAAUCUAUUCGACGUCCUACUUUAUUACUCGGAUAACCGUGGUAAUUCUAGAGCUAAUACGUGCCAUCAAAGCCCUGACCUUUAUGGAAGGGGUGCAGUUAUUAGAUACAAAACCAAUAGCAGGGGCAACUCUGCUUUCCUGGUGAUUCAUGAUAACUUUGCAGAUCGCAUUGGCCUUUGUGCCG
rnacentral:rRNA from 1 species